ensembl:lncRNA
AUACUUAUCAUUGUGCUUUAAUUGGAAGAGCACUGUCUAGGUAGAAGCAUUUCUGAUCAGCAUUAUUGUGGUCCUAAGAUAAAGGCUGUCCCCAUUGGAAGGCAGGUCUGGCAUACUGUAUUUUAGUCAGGCAUGUACUGCAUUUUGACCGUAGGGGGGCAGACAGGGGGCCAGACAGAUCCUCUGAGGUACUGCAUUUUGGCCAAUCAGGUCCUCUGAGGCAAUACAUUUUGGACAGACAGAUCCUCUGAGGCAAUGAAUUUUGGCCAAUCAGCUCCUCUGAGGUACUGCAUUUUGGCCAGACAGAUCCUCUGAGGUAAUGAAUUUUGGACAGACAGAUCCUCUCUGAGAUAUUUCAUUUUGGACAGACAGAGGCAGGUCUUCUGAGAUACUGCAUUAUUAUGUGGUGACCAAAAGACCUGUUAAAAAAAACUAUUAUAUGUAACAUUUUUAACACUAUUCCUGAUUAAGUUUUGCACAUCCUUGUCAUCUUUUCAACUAGGUUCAUGAAGGAGCUUCACCCAGGAGGCUUUCUCAGAAAGGCAGAGCUCCUAACUGCUUCUCCUAAGUUCUAAAUGAAAACUACUUCUUUGGGGAAAAUGUACUUCUUUCGAGUAAAAACUACUUAUUUGAAAUGCAUUUUGUACAUGGGCAUCAACUUGCCCAUAUAUAUAUAUAUAUAUAUAUAUAUCUAGUGUGUCCAAACUUU